rnacentral:rRNA from 1 species
CAGUCGCCACGGUAAUACGAAGGGUGCAAGCGUUACUCGGAAUUACUGGGCGUAAAGCGUGCGUAGGUGGUUGUUUAAGUCUGCUGUGAAAGCCCUGGGCUCAACCUGGGAAUUGCGGUGGAUACUGGGCAACUAGAGUAAGGUAGAGGAUAGUGGAAUUUCCGGUGUAGCAGUGAAAUGCGUAGAGAUCGGAAGGAACAUCUGUGGCGAAGGCGACUAUCUGGGCCAUUACUGACACUGAGGCACGAAAGCGUGGGGAGCAAACAGGAUUAGAUACCCGUGUAGUCCCUGUCUCUUAUAA